rnacentral:rRNA from 1 species
GGGUAACGGCCCACCAAGACAACGAUGGAUAGGGGUUCUGAGAGGAAGGUCCCCCACAUUGGAACUGAGACACGGUCCAAACUCCUACGGGAGGCAGCAGUGAGGAAUAUUGGUCAAUGGACGAGAGUCUGAACCAGCCAAGUAGCGUGAAGGAUGACUGCCCUAUGGGUUGUAAACUUCUUUUAUAUGGGAAUAAAAUGUUCCACGUGUGGGAUUUAAAAAAAACCAUAUGAAUAAGGAUCGGCUAACUCCGUGCCAGCAGCCGCGGUAAUACGGAGGAUCCGAGCGUUAUCCGGAUUUAUUGGGUUUAAAGGGAGCGUAGGUGGAUUGUUAAGUCAGUUGUGAAAGUUUGCGGCUCAACCGUAAAAUUGCAGUUGAAACUGGCAGUCUUGAGUACAGUAGAGGUGGGCGGAAUUCGUGGUGUAGCGGUGAAAUGCUUAGUUAUCAAGAAGAACUCCGAUUGCGAAGGCAGCUCACUGGACUGCAACUGACACUGAGGCUCGAAA